rnacentral:tRNA from 1 species
UGGGAUAUAGCUCAGGUGGUAGAGUGCUUGCCUCAGAUGCAUGAGGCCCUGAGUUCAAUCCCCAGUGCCACAA